rnacentral:misc_RNA from 1 species
GUGGGAGGGGGCUUGCCCCCGAUGGCGGAGUGUCAGCCGAUUCAUCAAUGGCUGACCCGGCGCAAUCGGGGGCAAGCCCCCUCCCAC